UUGAUAAGAAAUCAUAAGGCUCGCCAAGAGAAUCAAUUGGUCCAUGUUUGUAACUCACAAAAUUCCGAUGCAUACCUAAAGAAAAACAUCCAAGAUUGAUGAAAGAAAACUCUAAUAUACUUGUCUCUAUCACUGCGUGAAUGUUCGUGAAAGAAACCAAGGGCAUGAAGAAUUUCGUGCAUAACUUUGCCACGAUAUUUGCAGUCGUCGUGUAGUGAAAUAACUUGUCGACCACCAACUCGGCCGAUGGAUGAGUAACAACUAGAGAUAUUAUCAAUUAUGUUUUAUCAUCUCUUGCAAUUUGCAUAUAUAGUUUGAUUUGAAUAUAUUUUUCGUGAUAUUAGGUGUUGUUAUGCUUCUAUAGAUCUUUUGUGUUUCAUUCAUGCACGCAUAAAGAGGAUUACUUUAAGUUCUUAUACGACGUGUUGAAAACGAUGAAGAAAAGCAGACCAGCUAAAUCUGUAUGACUUCAUAUAAUUUUGUUCUUAUUUGGCAAUUAAUCAUCACCUUCACGUUGAAUUGAGUAAUUUGUGUAAUGACAGUAAUGUAUGUUAAAAAUAUGUUGUUUCACGUCCUUAUAUGUGUUAAUAAAUCGUAUCCUAUCCAUUUGUUGACGAAUUAAACCAUUACCCUUUUCCA